rnacentral:rRNA from 1 species
UGAGGAAUAUUGGACAAUGGGCGCAAGCCUGAUCCAGCCAUGCCGCGUGCAGGAUGAAGGCCUUCGGGUUGUAAACUGCUUUUGUACGGAACGAAACGGCUCUGUCUAAUACAUGGGGCUAAUGACGGUACCGUAAGAAUAAGCACCGGCUGACUACGUGCCAGCAGCCGCGGUAAUACGUAGGGUGCAAGCGUUAAUCGGAAUUACUGGGCGUAAAGCGUGCGCAGGCGGUUAUAUAAGACAGAUGUGAAAUCCCCGGGCUCAACCUGGGACCUGCAUUUGUGACUGUAUAGCUAGAGUACGGUAGAGGGGGAUGGAAUUCCGCGUGUAGCAGUGAAAUGCGUAGAUAUGCGGAGGAACACCGAUGGCGAAGGCAAUCCCCUGGACCUGUACUGACGAUCAUGCACGAAAGCGUGGGGAGCAAACA